UCAGCCUCCGAGGCUCACUUCAUCCCCUUUUCUCUGUGGACGUGCAUCUCAGUUGGUGCCUCUAGAAGCCUUGUGUGAUACUAAUGUGUCAGAAGGUUAGUACGAGAAAGAGAACUUUCCCAGAGGGAACUGGAAAUAGUAGUAAGCUCAGAGCCCAGGUAGGCCACUCUUGGCUGGUGUGUGCAAGUCACCAUGGCCAGAUGGGGCCACAGACCCCACCUGAGGGGCAGCCACCUGGAAAGGUGUUGCCAUGUAAGGAUGCAGGCCAGAUAUUGUCAAAUGUGGCUCCUUCUUCAGGAGAUGCCAGAAAUCCACGGAGAAGAUGUGGAAGGUAAGCUGGAGACUACAGUGGGGCUACAGGCCACCAGCACACAACUCAGAAGUAGGCUAAGGAAUGAAGGAACUGUUGAUGUCUGUGUGUUAAAGAGAAUGACAUAUGUGUCUGUCGGGUGCCUAGAAACCAGGAUGUUAUGGAUUCAGCCACUGUAAUGCUGAAAAGUAAGAAAGAGAAAUGGAGUAAAAAAAUAUUCCUUUGCUACUUUGCUCUAAUGUUCAUUCAGUUGUGAAAACGUUUUCUCAAGAUGCAGAAUGGUGUAUUCACAUUGGGAUCAAGCCAAAGUUACUUUAUCUGAGAGGUGUUCUGAUGACCGAUUUGCACAUUCUUUGGUAACUGGUUUUAUCUAGAGAUGGACUUUUCAAGGGAGGGAAUGUGUUGCUUUCAUAGCUGUGAAAUAAAUGGGAUAGAAGGUCCACUUUUAACUGAGAGCAGCAAUGGAAUAUUUGGUGAAUUUCUUGGGAGAGUGUCUUGUGGGGUGGCUUGUAUCUGAGCGCGCUGUCACUAGAGGGUGCAGGUAGACCACAGUGGGAGAUACCAGGCCUAAGGUUGCAGACGGUGCAUGAUUUGUGAGUAAAAAAUAGGGUGCAAAGUGAGUGUUUUGCAGGCUGUGACUGAAAUGCCACAGGAAGUGCAAAUCCAGGGUCUUAGACGAUUGAACUUUCACGAUGGAGAUGCAGUGUCAGAAGUUGAUCCCUCAGGUCUGAGGUUUAGAUUUCCUGCUUUUGUGACUUCUCCUGGCCACACUUCAGGGUGACUGACGACCAUGGUUGCUAGGCCAGGGUGGGGAGUUGGUGUGAGCACCUUGGGCGCUUAAUCCUUUGGUGGAUUGAGACCCUGGAAGAGAACACCUGACCUCCUCAAGGGGCAACCCACUCAUGCCAGCAGCUCAGGGGCUAACAGCAUGCCCUUCCCCCACCUGGCCACCAUGAUCCAGCCUCCACACACCAUUGCCAGCAGCCACACCUUCUCUAAUUCAUCCUGGCUUCUCAGCCCCUGCUGUUUUCGGUAGA
rnacentral:lncRNA from 1 species